rnacentral:rRNA from 1 species
AUGCGUAGGGUAUUCAGACGGUCAACGCCGAACAGAUCUAACAUCAAGGCGGCAAAGAAAUUGGGCGACGGUAGUGCAACACUCCGGCAGGGCUUUCAGGGGGCGAGCAGACGAAGUCGGACGACGGCGGGCGCAUCGCUCCCCGUGGAUCCAAUGCAGGAGCGGCGUCAUGGCGUGGAUCUGGAGCAAAACGCGAUGGCGGCAAAGCUUCUCUGCCAUGGCGGCUCGACUGGGUUUCUGCGCUGGAAGGGGAGAGAGAGAGAUGAGGGAGGAGAUAAACGGGUGAAGAUAAGAGGGGAGAGGAAGGAGGAAAGGAAGGGAGAAGGCAGGGAAGAGGCUGGCGGCCACGAAGCUAUACUGCCAUGGCGGCUCGGCUGA